GUACAUGUCCGUCAGGGUCUUAGGCAGCUCUCCACUCUCCUCUCUGCUCAUCAUGUCCUUCAGGACUGUAGCAGUGAUCCAGCAGAAGACCGGGAUCUGACACAUGAUGUGGAGGCUCUUGGAGGACUUGAUGUGUGAGAUGAUUCCUCUGAACAGAUCUUCAUCUCUGAACCUCUUCCUGAAGUACUCGUCCUUCUGGGCGUCAGUGAAGCCUCGUACUUCUGUUACCCUGUCCACACAUGAGGGAGGGAUCUGAUUGGCUGCUGCAGGUCGAGAAGUUAUCCAGAUGAGAGCUGAGAGGAGCAGGUUCCCCUUGAUGAGGUUUGUUAACAGAACGUCCAGUGAAGACUUCUGUGUGACGUCAGACACCACCUCAGAGUCUGUGAAAUCCAGAGACAGUCUGCUUUCAUCCAGACCGUCAAAGAUGAACAGAAGUUUACAGACAGCCAGCGUCUCUGCUGUGACCUUCUCUAGUGUUGGAUGGAAAACAUGGAGCAGACUCAGAAGACUGAAGCGCUCAUCUCUGAUCAGGUUCAGCUCCCUGAAUGAAAGCAGGAUCACCAGAUUGAGGUCUUGGUUCUCCAAACCCUCUGCCCAGUCCAGAGUGAACUUCUGCACUGAGAAGGUUUUUCCAACACCAGCCACGCCGUUGGUCAGAACCACUCUGAUGAGCCUCUUCUGUUGGUUAGGUAGGGUUUUAAAGAUCUCAUGACACUUGACGGGCGUGUCAUGGAAGGUCUUCAUCUUUGAGGCUGUCUCCAGCUGUCUCACCUCAUGUUGGGUGUUCACCUCUUCACUCAGUCCCUCUGU